rnacentral:rRNA from 1 species
GACGUAGGGUGCAAGCGUUGUCCGGAAUUAUUGGGCGUAAAGCGCACGUAGGCGGCUUUGCAAGUCCCAUGUGAAAUCCCACGGCUUAACCGUGGAAGUGCAUGGGAAACUGCAAGGCUUGAGUACUUAAGAGGAUCGCGGAAUUCCCGGUGUAGAGGUGAAAAUUCGUAGAUAUCGGGGAGGAACACCAGUGGCGAAGGCGGCGAUCUGGGAAGUUACUGACGCUGAGGUGCGAAAGCGUGGGGGAGCAAACAGG